AACGAACGUUAGCGGUGUGGAUUAGGCAUGCAAGUCGAGCGUGAAAGGCGCAAGCUGAGUAAAGCGGCGAAAGGGUGAGUAACACGUAACCAACCUACCCCAGAGACUGGAAUAACCUGC
rnacentral:rRNA from 1 species